rnacentral:rRNA from 1 species
UACAGAGGGUGCGAGCGUUGUUCGGAAUUAUUGGGCGUAAAGGGCGCGUAGGCGGUGCGGUAAGUCACCUGUGAAAUCUCCUGGCUCAACUGGGAGCUUGCAGGCGAAACUGCCGUGCUGGAGUGUGGGAGAGGUGCGUGGAAUUCCCGGUGUAGCGGUGAAAUGCGUAGAUAUCAGGAAGAACACCAAUGGCGAAAGCAGCUCUCUGGGGACGGUACUGACGCUGAGACGCGAAAAGCGUGGGGAGCGAACAGG